rnacentral:rRNA from 1 species
GACGAACGCUGGCGGCGUGCUUAACACAUGCAAGUCGAGCGGUAAGGCCCUUUCGGGGGUACACGAGCGGCGAACGGGUGAGUAACACGUGGGUGACCUGCCCUCAGCUCUGGGAUAAGCCUGGGAAACCGGGUCUAAUACCGGAUAUGACUCCAUGACGCAUGUUGUGGGGUGGAAAGCCUUGUGCGGCUGAGGAUGGGCCCGCGGCCUAUCAGCUUGUUGGUGGGGUGAUGGCCUACCAAGGCGACGACGGGUAGCCGGCCUGAGAGGGCGACCGGCCACACUGGGACUGAGACACGGCCCCAGACUCCUACGGGGGGCAGCAGUGGGGAAUCUUGCGCAAUGGGCGAAAGCCUGACGCAGCGACGCCGCGUGAGGGAUGACGGCCU